ACGAGGCACUACGGUGCUGAAGUAACAAAUGCCCUGCUUCCAGGAAAAGCCUCUAAGCAUCAGGUAACACGAAAUCGUACCCCAAACCGACACAGGUGGUCAGGUAGAGAAUACCAAGGCGCUUGAGAGAACUCGGGUGAAGGAACUAGGCAAAAUGGUGCCGUAACUUCGGGAGAAGGCACGCUGAUAUGUAGGUGAAGCCCCUGCGGGUGGAGCUGAAAUCAGUCGAAGAUACCAGCUGGCUGCAACUGUUUAUUAAAAACACAGCACUGUGCAAACACGAAAGUGGACGUAUACGGUGUGACGCCUGCCCGGUGCCGGAAG
rnacentral:rRNA from 2 species